CUUGGACAUUCUAUUGUGUCCUAGAGAGUUCUUGGCAUCCUCUGUGAUGUCACCAGCGUUGUAGUAACCACCAGUGCCCUACUUUUUCUCAGUCCCUGCCUGGCAGAUACACAGGAAGACAUGUAUUCCCGUCUUCGCAAGCAUUUUGGUAGAGUGAAUGGGGAUUUUGGACAGACUAGAGUGAGGGAAUCUCGCCUUUCAUCAAAAACAAAUGAUGGACAAAGAAAGCUGGCCUGGGGAAUGAGGAAGGAUGGGAGACUGACAUCAUCCCCUGGCCCUGUGGUAAUCAACAAGGAGGCCAACACAGAAGAGCAGAGACUGAUUAGACAGCUGCAGUCAGCUACUGAGGAGAGAAAUGAGCUAAGAGAUCUCCUGACUUACGUGACAGAGAGAUACAGGAACAACAGCAACCUGCCCAGUCGGAUCCAUAUGGACAAGAUAUGUAUGCAGAAGAAGUUGUUCCCAUUCAAGGAGAGCAAAACAGAACAUCUGGAUUGUGCACCAUUGGUUCAGAAAUAUUUGGUUGACUUGCACAAGAAAGAUAAGGAUGAACAGGAGAAGAAGAGCAACCUCCAGACCCAGCCACGUCUGGAUAACACCACUUGAGAGAAGACUUGGUGACUGCAAUGCCAUUUUGCCUGCUAGAGGAGAAACAGCAAUAUAACUGUGCUUCAAAAUGUUCACUAAGAA
rnacentral:lncRNA from 1 species